CUUUCUUAAUAAUGGCACAUAGAAAUUGUUUAAGCAGGAAUAAUUCUCAAGAUUAUUUUAUGUGUUUCCUUUUUUCUUUUUAAGGUAUGUAUUGGAUGGAGGAGCAUUAUGUAUUGAACCUCUCACGAAACAGCGCCUACUUUCAAGAAUGAAAAAGGUAUCCCAGCACUUUGGGAGGCCCAGGCCGACGGAUCACAAGGGCUGAAGCAGUGCCUACUCGAUAGAAUCAGUCAUCAUGCACAUAAAUGCCAAAUGAGUCAAAGGCAAAGCCAACGUGCAGUUUGGAGCAAAGAAGGUACUUUUAUUAAGAAUUUGAUAUAAACCCUAAGAUGAAUUUUAUAUUACUUUGUGAACCUUCUUCCUAUCUUAAUUAUUUUUUAUUCAUUUCAUUUUCAUUCAGUUUGUUUUCUGUUACAAAGAUGACCUAUAGAAAAUAUAGA